rnacentral:lncRNA from 1 species
CCAGCUGCAGCACAUAACCUCAGUGCCUGCUAUUUGUAACUGUCACGGAGACUUCUCUACAUUGAGCCCCAGAUUCCCACUGCCCUUGCUGAGCCACCAAGGUGCGGGCAGUGUGGAGACAAAGGGGGCCGGCCCGGGAGCUCCCUCCCUCUGGCCUCAGUCCCACCCCGUCCCGCAGGGACCGGAUUGCAGGUCAGCAAGAAAUGGUCUCUGGUUGGCUUUGUGGUGCCCUGAGCUUUUCCCACGCAGCAAAGACAUUAUCAGAAGGUCACGUCAAGAACGUGAAUGUUAGAGGAGAGUGACAGAAGUGACCGACGGGUUAGGAAAAGGGAAGCAUGAAGAAGUCUCAGGAAACUCGGACUUUCUGCCUCGUCCUUCUGGACUGGAAACGCAUCGCAGUGCCUGUAAGGCACAGACGCCGUGCCGGCAACGUGAAUGCUUUCUAACGAGAAAGUGCUGUACACACUGCGUCACCGGGCUGAGAGGAGCGAGGGGAUAGAUUGGUUCAUUCAUUCAUUCAUUCAUUCAACACACGCCUGAGAGCCUCGUGUCAGGUGCUGAGAGGGACUCCACGCUUCCCCUCCUGAAGGACUACUGGUCUGCCCUUCCCAUUUUUCCAGGGAUGGAGAUAGGAGAAAUCCACCUGGAACAGAGAGAACAGGGAAAAACUUCAUUCAUGGGCACACACAAGGCCAGUGCUAAUUGCACGGUGAAUAAACUGAAGGAGACAUUGGGGGCAGGGCCUUGCCUCCCCACACAAGGCAGCAGGCCUGCUCCGUGGUUGGCACCGCUGGCGUUUGCUGCAUGAAUGGGUGGCAGGAUUGGAGAGAGAAAGGGGAGGCCGUGUCCCUCUGGAGUCCCCAGGAGCCGCUAUCGGAGAGGACAGGGACUUGGUUCACCACUUGCCCCUUUCGUCCUCAAAACCUCAGGCCCUUCCCACAACCUCCUCUGGCUGCCGUGGGCCCAGCGUCUCCCUGCGUGAGGAGGACGGGAGUGGAAACACAUGCCUUACAAGGCACCAGGAGAGGCUGGGGCUCUGUUGAGAGGGGAAGCAGCACGAGUGGGAAGAACGGCCUGGUGCUGUUUGCCGGGACCCUCCGGGAGGCACAGCAUCUGGCCCUGCCUGGACCCACCUCACCGUGGCCUUUUGGUGGAUGAAGAUGGAGUGUGAGGGCUGAAGCAAUGCUUUCGCCCACCAAGGAGCCGUCCUCGGCCUCAUGCUGCUCCCCUCCAGCCCCAUGGGUUCAUACCAGGGACCGACUCCCAGUACAGUGACUCUCACUCUCUGGUGGAAUCUCUCCCCGUUCUCCCCUCCCCUUCGCCAGCAUCCCCUCUCCUGCCCACCCCCCCCCCUCCCGUUUCCCCACCCAGCUUCCCUUUCAAAGCCCAGGCUCAGGGAAGCUCAGGGAAGCUCACGGAAGCUCCACGAGUCUGAAAACCUUACAAAAGCCCUGGUUGUCAACUUUGCCUGAUUUUCUAAUUUCAUCUCUUACAAGCUUUCGGGAUGCUAACAUGAUUAAGUUCUUCACACAAUUUAUUAGCAUCAUGUUGGAAAUCCGGUGGUAUAUUAUACUGUCUGAGUAAUCCAAUUAGCAAAAUGUAUUUAUUUAACGGGAGUAUUAGCCACAUACGAGUCCCGCCCCAGCCGUCUCCACUCUCGUCUGUUUCCCCACGGAAGGGACUUGCGUCAACACGGGAGACUGUGACGGAGCGUGAGGCAGCCCAGGUUGCAGGGUGGGAGGGGGUGCGGGGUGGCCAAGGAUGCCCCCAUUUGGGCUGGGAGAGGGUGAGUCAUGCAGAUACAGAUGUUUGGUGCUGAGACUGGAUGGUCCAGUGGGAAGAGCGUGAAUUCAGGCGACUCUGGGUUCAGAUUCCAGCUUUGCCACUUGAUCCUAGCUCUGAAUCAAGACCGGGCACCUUCUUGAGGUUUUCUGCAUCCCGGUUUCCUUAUUAUCUGUGAAAUGGAGACAAGAAAACCCUCCUGAAAGGGUGGCUGUGAAAAUUCCAUGAGACAGCUGAGGGAGACCGGACCAGU